GAACGCAGCGAAAUGCGAUACCUAGUGUGAAUUGCAGAAUUCCGCGAAUCAUCGAGUUUUUGAACGCAAGUUGCGCCCGAGGCUCGUCCGAGGGCAUGCCUGCCUGAGCGUCCUC
rnacentral:rRNA from 1 species